rnacentral:lncRNA from 1 species
GGCAAAUCUAAGCAGGGAUUUGUGUAAAUUCUUAUGAAGGCCCUGCUGAGUUUUCACUUAUAACUAUAGACAAGAAGUGCAACUUCACUCUGUCUAGCUUAUCCCUAAGGGAGCAUGGGUAUAGUGUACCAUAACGACCUGUUUACCUGCUGGUUUCUCCCUCUGAGAACUCCUUGUAGGAAGGGGCUGUGGCUUUCGGACUCGACAUCCCUACUGCUAGCACAACAGGGCUCCACCACAUUGCCCAGGCUGGUCUCAAAGUCCUAGGCUCAUGCGAUCCUCCCACCUCAACCUCCCAAAGUGCUGGAACUACAGGUGUCAGCCACAGCCCCCUGUGAGGAUGCUUAAUCACUCGAGGACGGUAUAAAGGUACAGAAGAACAGCGAGCCACAGGUGGGCCUCAUCCCAUCAGCUGAAGGCCUUACAGGAACAAAGAUUGACCUCCCAGUAUAAGAAGUAAUCUGCCAGCAGGCUGCCUUUGGACUCCAACUGCAACUCUUCCCUGGGUUUCCAGCCUGCCAGCCUACCCUGCAGACUUUGGACUUGCACCUCCACAACCAUACGUUUCCAAAAUCUGGAGAGCGGCUGUGAGUUUGCAGUGCAGUAUGGGGAGAGACCAGAACCCACCGGAAGCCUCCAGGUGCUGCAGUGAGGAGGAGCUGGAACCCUUCUCCUCCAGGUGCCAGCUCGCGCUGCUGUGGUUCUCAUCUGUAGAGGACGUGGACCAUCCAGGGAAUCACCUGCAGCUGACAGAGGAAACUCUGAAGCCCACCAGGCCUGUACAGACUGGGGAAACACCAGUGCCUGAGGAUAGUGGCUAAACUGCCAGAGAACAUGGGGCUGAGGUGGAGCCUGGAUGACUCUUCUGCCUCUGAGCAAAGCUGCUUGCCCUACACACAACAGUAUUGUCUUAACAUCUGCUGAGUUCCCAGGUCCUCUUAGCAGCAGGCAGAGGCAUUCAGAGCCCAGACCCCAAAGACAUGCUGAUCUGGUUUAAACCUGACUGUGCUACUCAUCAACUGGGGGACCUAGGCAGGUUACAUUGUCUUUUUGUGCCUCAGUUUCCUCAUCUAUAGAAUAGAGGUAUUCUAGUUUCCUGUGAUUUCUGUAAUAAAUUUACAAACUUUGUAACAAAUUACCACAAAUUUGGUGGCUUCAAACGAUAGAAAUUUAUUCUCUCACAAACCUGGAGACCAAAAGUCUAAAGUCUCUAUCAUUGGACUGAAAUAAAAGUGCAGGUGGGGCCAGACACAGUGGCUCACACUUGUAAUCCCAGCACUUCGGGAGGCCAAGGCGGGCGGAUCAUGAGGUUAGGAGUUUGAGACAAGCCUGGCCAAUAUGGUGAAACCCCGUCUCUACUAAAAAUACAAAAUUAGCCAGGCGUGGUGGUGCAUGCCUGUAAUCCCAGCUACUUGGGAGGCUGAGGCAGGUGUAUCUCUUGAAACCAGGAGGCGGAGGUUGCGGUGAGCCAAAAUCAUGCCAUUGCAC